UUGAGAGGUAUACAGUCUAAGUACUCGACAUCCUGUCGCAACGACUGCAUGACCCGCUUCCUGUGGG
rnacentral:sRNA from 1 species